rnacentral:rRNA from 1 species
CACGUAGGGGGGCAAGCGUUUGUCCGGAUUCAUUGGGCGUAAAGAGCUCGUAGGCGGCUCAGCAAGUCGGGUGUGAAACCUCCAGGCUCAACCUGGAGACGCCACUCGAUACUGCUGUGGCUAGAGUCCAGUAGGGGAGCGUGGAAUUCCUGGUGUAGCGGUGAAAUGCGCAGAUAUCAGGAGGAACACCAGCGGCGAAGGCGGCGCUCUGGGCUGGAACUGACGCUGAGGAGCGAAAGCGUGGGGAGCAAACAGG